rnacentral:rRNA from 1 species
CCUACGGGAGGCAGCAGUGGGGAAUAUUGGGCAAUGGAGGAAACUCUGACCCAGCGACGCCGCGUGCGGGAUGAAGGCCUUCGGGUUGUAAACCGCUUUCAGUAGGGAAGAAGCGAAAGUGACGGUACCUACAGAAGAAGCACCGGCUAACUAUGUGCCAGCAGCCGCGGUAAUACAUAGGGUGCAAGCGUUGUCCGGAAUUAUUGGGCGUAAAGAGCUCGUAGGUGGUUCGUCACGUCGGAUGUGAAAAUCUGGGGCUCAACCCCAGACCUGCAUUCGAUACGGGCGAUCUAGAGUGUGGUAGGGGAGACUGGAAUUCCUGGUGUAGCGGUGGAAUGCGCAGAUAUCAGGAGGAACACCAAUGGCGAAGGCAGGUCUCUGGGCCAUUACUGACACUGAGGAGCGAAAGCGUGGGGAGCGAACAGGAUUAGAUACCCUGGUAGUCCACGCCGUAAACGGUGGGCACUAGUUGUGGGAACCUUCCACGGUUUCUGCGACGCAGCUACGCAUAGUGCCCGCCGUCGGGAGGUACGANCGCGAAGAAUUAAACUACAAUAGAAGUUAGACGGCGUGAGACGUGCCGAACGGACGACGACGAGGGAGGUAGG